rnacentral:sRNA from 1 species
CUCGUCUUGAUUGGCAGAUGUAAAUAAACGGUGGAACGGCUGUAAAAGAGCCUUGCCACUGGGUAAAAUCAGGAUGUGCCGCGGAACCCGCUCCUCAGUCGGUCAACUUUGGAAGCGCGGGCAACGCAGGUAUUAUCGUCUAAAGGGCCGGGUGCAACCGGCCC